UACGAAGGGGGCUAGCGUUGCUCGGAAUCACUGGGCGUAAAGCGCACGUAGGCGGACUCUUAAGUCAGAGGUGAAAUCCUGGAGCUCAACUCCAGAACUGCCUUUGAUACUGAGAGCCUUGAGUUCGGGAGAGGUGAGUGGAACUGCGAGUGUAGAGGUGAAAUUCGUAGAUAUUCGCAAGAACACCAGUGGCGAAGGCGGCUCACUGGCCCGAUACUGACGCUGAGGCGCGAGAGCGUGGGGAGCAAACCGG
rnacentral:rRNA from 1 species